CCAUGGCAACUAGAGCCGCGUACUUUUCCCCGUCGGAAGCACAAAUCCUCAUGGAGGCAUACGAGGAGGUAAAAGAUAUAAUUAAGAAGAAAGGCAACACCGCCACAGUGAUAAAGCAAAGAGAAAAAGCGUGGCAAAGUAUUGCAGACCGCCUGAAUGCGUAAGUAGUGCACAAUUACACACUCACCGCUCCGCUGAAACAUCACAAUUACAAUUCAAAUAUUUAAUUCACAUCUCCAAAAAUGCAGUUGUACUGUAAUUAUGAAACGGUUAAAUUUUUAAUUGAAAUGCACUGCAGAUAUGAGUGAAAUUGUGUAAAGUAACUCCGUCACACUGUAUAAAGCUAUGAUAAAUAUUUUGAUAUUUUUACUGAAAACAAGACAAAAAUACCAAGUAAUUUUUUGCAGUGUGACUCCAUUAAAUGUGUGUGUGUGUGUGUGUGUGUGUAGAUUAAACAUGAACGGGCCAAAACGGACAUGGCAGGUCAAAAUCAAAUACAAGAACAUUCUGCAGAAUGCAGUGAAAAAGAAUACCCACAGACGAGGCACGGGUGGUGGGUCACCAAAGGCUGACCUUACCCCAGCAGAGGACAUGGCCUUGGAGCUAAAUAAAGGCAGGCCCGUCUUAGAGGGGAUCCCUGGGGGGAAAGAGACGAGCAUAGGUUCCUCCCAAGAUGCCACCCGCUUCAUUCAAGGUAUGUCCUUCCAUCUCUACAUGGGAUACAACCACAUUCAUAUUGAAUCAAUUUGGACUGUCUGACUUUGGUUUACCUAUUGCCUGGCAGCACUGUGUUCCUGUUAGAGCCACCAGCACAAGCACCAGACGAUGCUGAUCCAGGUGAAGGCCCCAGUGCAGCAGCAACAGCACAUGAUGGAGACUAUGAUGAGGAGGAGACCAUCUCUCUGGAUUCCAGAAGGCAUGAGGACCCAGAUGCUAUACAGUGGGAAAACCAGCCUGGCAACAUAGUGCGUAUUAAUAAAAGGACACCACAUCCUGCCAAAUUCCAGCUGCGCUAAUUGUAUUGUGUUCACAGAGCUCACAAGCUAUCAGAAAGUUGUAUGGCAACCACCUCCGGCGCCAAAUAGAACUGGCAGACAUAGACAUUCAGUACAAGAAGAAAAAGAUGGAAAAUCUUGCACUGGAGUCCGAAAUAAAAAAGAGGACAAUUAGGAAACUGGACCUUGAAAUAAAAAAACUUGAGAGGGAGCUCCAAGAAGAUGACACAGCUCAAAAUAAAAAUUAGCAAUCAGUACAACCAAGUCAUCAUUAUAAGGCAUCGCCCUCUUUUGCCCACCCCCCCAGCACCAGGUGUGGCCACUAGCCUAUAUGAAGGCCCAAAAUUGUGUGUUCCUUUCUGCUCUGACAAUGGCAUGCCCAUUCUUGCGAGAUGUGGUGGAUGAAGAAGCACUUGUGCUGAGGAGAGCCUUCAGGCGAGAAAGGGUCUUCAGGGACCGGUUGGACCCACUGGCCUUCCCUGAUGACCAUCUAUAUGAAAGAUACAGGUUUUCUGCAGAUGGCAUCAGGUAUCUAUGCAGACUACUGGGUCCCAGGAUUAAGCACCGCACUGCACGGAGCCAUGCACUGAGUGUGGAGCAAAUGGUUUGUGUGGCCUUGCGCUUUUUUGCUAGUGGAGCCUUCCUGUACUCAGUGGGGGAUGCUGAACAAGGCCACAAUUUGCCGCACAAUAAGGAGUGUGUGUCUGGCUAUCAAAGCAUUAGCAGAUGUCUUAAUCUCCUUCCCUGGCCACAGAAGACUCUGACAUCAAAGAGGAGUUCUAUAGGAUUGCAGAUGGUCUGCAAUGCUGACUGUGAUCAGCAAUGUUGUGGCAAAAUGGCCUGGCUCAGUCCAUGACUCCAGAAUCUUUCGGGCCUCUGAAAUCUAUCAGUGCCUAUCACAAGGUGAAUUCUCUGGUGUGUUGCUGGGAGACAGGGGGUAUGGCUGCCAGCCUUUUCUCCUGACACCUUUCACAGACUCCCAGGAAGCACAGCAGGCCUACAACCAUGCCCAUGCCAGGACCAGGGCCAGAGUUGAAAUGACCUUUGGCCUCCUGAAGGCACGCUUUCACUGCCUUCACAAAUUAAGGGUCAGCCCUGUUAGGGCAUGUGAUAUUACUGUGGCUUGUGCUGUCCUCCACAAUGUGGCCUGCCUGAGGAAGGAGAGGGCCCCCAGAGUGCCACCAGCCAUGGACUGGGACAAUCCGGCAAUCUUCCCUGAUGACGACAGUGGUCGGCUGCUGAGGGACCAAUAUGUGUUGAAUUAUUUUAGUUAGUAUGUGUGCUUUCAAUUUUGGUUAAAUAUGUCCUGCGGUGGCAGAGGAAUUUGGUUUUUUUUGGGUUCGUUUUUUGACGAAUUUGGCCUCUUAUGAUGUUUGUGCGGUAUACUGUGUGUAAUACAAGGCUGCAGGGAGGCUACUGCAUCCAUUCAUUUGUCUGUUCAGUUGAUGUGUAUGGAUUUGUCCUGCAUUUAUUUUAGUGUGCAGACAUGCAGGGUGUGUUAUACACAUUCAAAGGUCUGUAUAUGUAUCAUUUUGUAUAAUAUGCUUGGAUUCUGUGCUUUCCAUCUUGUAGAGUCACUGUGACUUCAGUUUCGAAAGGAGCUGAUGGUUUACCUACUUUGUUUUGUCCUUAUUCAAUAAAGGAACAUAAUGUUA